rnacentral:tRNA from 1 species
GGCUCAGUGGUACAAUUGGUAGACACAACAAGUUUAAGCCUUGUAAAAGUGAGGGUUCGACUCCCUCUUGGGCUA